GUCAACAAAACAAGAUUUAAUAACUAACUUAAUAGUAGUUUCAACCCCACCAGAAUGUAACCUUUAGCCAUUCAACCUAGGAUCGCCUGAUUGGUACUAGUGAGGUUUGCUGCUGUUCAGUUGCCAAAUCGAGUCCAAUUCUCCGCAACCCUGUGGACUACAGCACGCCAGGCUUCUCUGUCCCUCACUAUCUCCCGGAGUUGGCCCAGGUUCAUGUCCAAUGAAUCAGCAAUGCUAGUGAGAUUUGGUGGCGGCAGCAGGACAAAGGAGAUUUCUGAUGGCUUUGGAAACAGCAGGAAAUAUAGAUGUGGCACCCUGUGAACCCUUUGAACUGACUGUCUUUCUGGCCAUUUCCGAGGACCCUGGUUCCCUGACUGGGGAUCGAACACUUACCUCCUGCAUUGGAAGUGUGGAGCGACUGCCUUGGCUAGAACCUUCUGCCUACUCUGGAGGCUGCAACUGAGAGAUCCUGGGACCUGACAAAGGCAGCAGAACGCAGAUUCUUUACCGACGGAGCUACCAGGGAAGGCCCUCUGAUGAUACUAAAGCUAUAUGCCAAUAGCUCCUGCAGAAAACUCCCCACACCGGAGAAACUGGUGACCAGAACCCUUCCCAGAUGCUCCAGCAAAUGGCCAGGAAAUGACCCGAGUGGAGCCUGAUGUUCCAGGUCUGAUCGGAGUGAUGCUAAAGGGCUUUCCUCCAAAGGUAAACUGGUCCCAGGUCGAACUGUGUGCUCAGAAAGAAGAGCGUCCCCAAAUCUCUGUGGAAGGUGUUACACAGACUUUUCAAAGACACAAUGCAUCAAACGCAGAUGCCCCAGAACACGUCUGCUUUAGUUGGAAAUCUCCCUAACAUGUGUGUGUGUUAGCACACGUGUGUGUACUCAAUUGUGUCCGCCU